rnacentral:rRNA from 1 species
ACGCUCGACACCUACGGGAGGCAGCAGUGGGGGAUAUUGCACAAUGGGGGAAACCCUGAUGCAGCGACGCCGCGUGAAGGAAGAAGGCCUUGGGUUGUAAACUUCUGUCGUACGGGACGAUAGUGACGGUACCGUACAAGAAAGCCACGGCUAACUACGUGUCAGCAGCCGCGGUAAUCUGAGCGGGCUGGCAAGGC